rnacentral:rRNA from 1 species
CCUGAACGCUGGCGGCGUGGCUAAGACAUGCAAGUCGCACGGGGUAGCAAUACCCAGUGGCGAACGGGUGAGUAAUGAAUCGCUAAUGUGCCCCGGACUCUGGGAUAGCCAGCCGAAAGGCUGGGUAAUACCAGAUGAGACCACGAACAGGCAUCUGUUUGUGCCCAAAGGUCCGCCGGUCUGGGAGCAGGCGAUUUCGUAUCAGCUUGUUGGUGAGGUAACGGCUCACCAAGGCGACGACGCGUAGCCGACUGAGAGGUUGGCCGGCCACAUUGGGACUGAGACACUGCCCAGACUCCGUACGGGGGCUGCAGUAACGAAUCUUCCGCAAUGUAACGAAAGUAUGACGGAGCGACGCCGCGUGUGGGACGAAG